rnacentral:Y_RNA from 1 species
GGCUGGUCCGAGUGCAGUGGUGCUGACAAUUAAUUGAUCACAGCCAGUUACAGAUUUCUUUGUUCCUUCUCCACUCCCACUGCUUCACUUGACCGGCCUUUU